rnacentral:misc_RNA from 1 species
AGUUUUCCCAAAACGUAAGCUCUUGAUCUGACAAUGAAGUUCAGUUUUAGCGGCACUGGUAGUGUAGCCGUUCCCGUUGAGCUGCUCAGACCUGCUCCACUUCCAUAUAGAGGGAUUUUAUUGCCCAUUACAGAUAUUGCUACUGAUCUUUGGCUUUUCCUUGAUUGGUAAAAUUUCUUUAGAUUUCCUGAGGCUAUGGUGAUCUCAGAAUA